rnacentral:rRNA from 1 species
AGAGUUUGAUCCUGGCUCAGGACGAACGCUGGCGGCGUGCCUAAUACAUGCAAGUCGAACGCACUCUCGUUUAGAUUGAAGGAGCUUGCUCCUGAUUGAUAAACAUUUGAGUGAGUGGCGGACGGGUGAGUAACACGUGGGUAACCUGCCCUAAAGUGGGGGAUAACAUUUGGAAACAGAUGCUAAUACCGCAUAAAACCUAACACCGCAUGGUGUAGGGUUGAAAGAUGGUUUCGGCUAUCACUUUAGGAUGGACCCGCGGUGCAUUAGUUAGUUGGUGAGGUAAAGGCUCACCAAGACCGUGAUGCAUAGCCGACCUGAGAGGGUAAUCGGCCACACUGGGACUGAGACACGGCCCAGACUCCUACGGGAGGCAGCAGUAGGGAAUCUUCCACAAUGGACGAAAGUCUGAUGGAGCAACGCCGCGUGAGUGAAGAAGGUUUUCGGAUCGUAAAACUCUGUUGUUGGAGAAGAAUGUAUCUGAUAGUAACUGAUCAGGUAGUGACGGUAUCCAACCAGAAAGCCACGGCUAACUACGUGCCAGCAGCCGCGGUAAUACGUAGGUGGCAAGCGUUGUCCGGAUUUAUUGGGCGUAAAGCGAGCGCAGGCGGUUUCUUAAGUCUGAUGUAAAAGCCUUCGGCUCAACCGAAGAAGUGCAUCGGAAACUGGGAAACUUGAGUGCAGAAGAGGACAGUGGAACUCCAUGUGUAGCGGUGAAAUGCGUAGAUAUAUGGAAGAACACCAGUGGCGAAGGCGGCUGUCUGGUCUGUAACUGACGCUGAGGCUCGAAAGCAUGGGUAGCAAACAGGAUUAGAUACCCUGGUAGUCCAUGCCGUAAACG